AUCUACAGCUGUAGCACCCCGAAUAUGCCGGAUCUCAUCUGAUCUUGGAAGCUAAGCAGGGUAGGGCCUGUUUAGUACUUGGAAGGGAGAAGACUACUAUGGAUAACUGAAGUUC
rnacentral:rRNA from 1 species